CAGCAGCCGCGGUAAUACAGAGGGUGCGAGCGUUAAUCGGAUUUACUGGGCGUAAAGCGUGCGUAGGCGGCUAAUUGAGUCGGAUGUGAAAUCCCCGAGCUUAACUUGGGAAUUGCAUUCGAUACUGGUUAGCUAGAGUGUGGGAGAGGAUGGUAGAAUUCCAGGUGUAGCGGUGAAAUGCGUAGAGAUCUGGAGGAAUACCGAUGGCGAAGGCAGCCAUCUGGCCUAACACUGACGCUGAGGUACGAAAGCAUGGGGAGCAAACAGGAUUAGAUACCCGGGUAGUCCCUGUCUCUUAUAC
rnacentral:rRNA from 1 species